rnacentral:rRNA from 1 species
AUGUCGCUGCUGUCGAGGCUGCGGCUGGUGACCGUGGACGUGACGGGGACGCUGAUCGCCUACAGAGGGCAGCUCGGCGACUACUACUGCACGGCGGCCAGGUCCGCCGGGCUGCCGUGCCCCGGCUACGCGCGCAUGCACCAGGCCUUCAAGGCCGCCUACGCCGACAUGACGGCCAAGCACCCCUGCUUCGGCCACGCCUCCAGGAUGCCCGACCAUCGCUGGUGGAGGACGUGCGUCAGGGACUCCUUCCUCAGGGCAGGACACGAGUACGAUGAUGCCACAUUUGAGCGGAUCUUCGGGCAAAUCUACGCCGCCUUCGGCUCCCCCGCCCCGUACUCGGUGUUCCCCGACGCGCGGCCCUUCCUCCGGUGGCUGCGCGGCGAGGGGAUCAUGGCCGGGGUCGUCACCAACGCGGACUGCCGCUACAGGGACGUCGUCCUGCCCGCGCUGGGGCUGAACCAGGGGUCCGAGUGGGACUUCGGGGUGUUCUCGGGCGUCGCCGGCGUCGAGAAGCCCGACCGGCGGAUCUACGAGAUGGCGCUGGAGGCGGCCGGGGGCGUGGCGCCGGAGGAGGCGCUGCACAUCGGCGACAGCAUGAGCAAGGACUACGCGCCGGCCCGGGCCGUCGGGAUGCACGCGCUGCUGCUGGACAGGUUCGGGACCGCUGAUGCCGAGAGGUGGCGGCGGUCCGGCGCGGUGGUGCUCCCUGACCUCGUCUCCGCCCGGGAGUGGCUCAUCCGGGAUCCCCCUGCCGCGCAUGGAGGAACCGACAACGCCUGGGCGGAGGAGUGA